rfam:Gossypium arboreum cultivar AKA8401 contig_33499_3, whole genome shotgun sequence.
CAUUGAAAAUUUCAUCCAUUUGUACUAUUAAAAACUGAGGUAGCUGAUGGAAUAAUCAGAUAAUGAUACGUGGCGUGCCUCAUGUACCUCAUGUUGGUGUACAUGAAUUAGUUUUUAAUAGUAAAAAUUAAUAAAAUUUUUAUA